rnacentral:rRNA from 1 species
UACGUAGGCAGCGAGCGUUGUUCGGAGUUACUGGGCGUAAAGAGUGCGUAGGCGGUGCUCUAAGUUUGGUGUGAAAUCUCCCGGCUCAACUGGGAGGGUGCGCCGAAAACUGGAGUGCUCGAGUAUGGGAGAGGAAAGUGGAAUUCCUGGUGUAGCGGUGAAAUGCGUAGAUAUCAGGAGGAACACCGGUGGUGUAGACGGCUUUCUGGACCGUAACUGACGCUGAGACACGAAAGCGUGGGUAGCAAACAGG